rnacentral:rRNA from 1 species
AGCGAACGCCGGCGGCAGGCUUAACACAUGCAAGUCGAGCGGGCACCUUCGGGUGUCAGCGGCGGACGGGUGAGUAACGCGUGGGAACGUGCCCUCUGGUUCGGAAUAACUCAGGGAAACUUGAGCUAAUACCGGAUACGCCCUUUUGGGGAAAGGCUUGCUGCCGGAGGAUCGGCCCGCGUCUGAUUAGCUAGUUGGUGAGGUAACGGCUCACCAAGGCGACGAUCAGUAGCUGGUCUGAGAGGAUGAUCAGCCACACUGGGACUGAGACACGGCCCAGACUCCUACGGGAGGCAGCAGUGGGGAAUAUUGGACAAUGGGCGCAAGCCUGAUCCAGCCAUGCCGCGUGAGUGAUGAAGGCCUUAGGGUUGUAAAGCUCUUUUAUCCGGGACGAUAAUGACGGUACCGGAGGAAUAAGCCCCGGCUAACUUCGUG